rnacentral:sRNA from 1 species
ACAAGAACAAUAACAAGCACUGCAAAACACAAUAAAAAUAAGACGAAUCGGCUCACGCACAAUAAGAACAAGACGGCGGAGGCGCAGCUAACUGAUUCUUUUGGAGAGGAGUUGUGUUUGGGGCUUGCCCCACAACCAGGUAGAGAACAACAAAAACUGCACUCAAGCAGAACCUGAACUGGUUGGAUCGAAAGGUCAUCGCAACGUCAGCGACCAAAGCAAUCCGUUUGCUCUUGUACUCCCGGUUAGGGAGACAGUCCACAGGCCCCAGGGCAUUCAGUGGAUCAGGGCAUGAACAAAAACAAGAAGCCCGACAAAAAAACAAUAAGAGCACGCAACUACUUCUUGGGGAGCUUCGGCUCCCCUUGUAGUUUCCGCCUUCUGGCACUCCCUCUGCGCAGCAUUA